rnacentral:rRNA from 1 species
GAUGAACGCUGGCGGCGUGCCUAAUACAUGCAAGUCGAGCGAACGGACGAGAAGCUUGCUUCUCUGAUGUUAGCGGCGGACGGGCGAGUAACACGUGGAUAACCUACCUAUAAGACUGGGAUAACAUCGGGAAACCGGAGCUACUACCGGAUAAUAUUUUCAACGGGAUGGUUCAAAAGUGAAUGACGGCCUUGCUGUCACUUAUAGACGGAUCCGCGCUGGAUUAGCUAGUUGGUAAGGUAACGGCUUACCAAGGCAACGAUGCAUAGCCGACCUGAGAGGGUGAUCAGCCACACUGGAACUGAGACACGGUCCAGACUCCUACGGGAGGCAGCAGUAGGGAAUCUUCCGCAAUGGGCGAAAGCCUGACGGAGCAACGCCGCGUGAGUGAUGAAGGUCUUCGGAUCGUAAAACUCUGUUAUUAGGGAAGAACAUAUGUGUAAGUAACUGUGCACAUCUUGACGGUACCUAAUCAGAAAGCCACGGCUAACUACGUG